UGAAUUGACGGGGGCCCGCACAAGCGGUGGAGCAUGUGGUUUAAUUCGAUGCAACGCGAAGAACCUUACCUACUCUUGACAUCCACAGAAUUCGCUAGAGAUAGCUUAGUGCCUUCGGGAACUGUGAGACAGGUGCUGCAUGGCUGUCGUCAGCUCGUGUUGUGAAAUGUUGGGUUAAGUCCCGCAACGAGCGCAACCCUUAUCCUUGUUUGCCAGC
rnacentral:rRNA from 1 species